rnacentral:rRNA from 1 species
UUUUUUGUGGAGAGUUUGAUCCUGGCUCAGGACGAACGCUGGCGGCGUGCUUAACACAUGCAAGUCGAACGGAAAGGCCUGCAGCUUGCUGCGGGUACUCGAGUGGCGAACGGGUGAGUAACACGUGGGUGAUCUGCCUUGCACUUCGGGAUAAGCUUGGGAAACUGGGUCUAAUACCGGAUAGGACAGCUGUUUAGUGUCAGUUGUGGAAAGUUUUUUCGGUGCAAGAUGAGCUCGCGGCCUAUCAGCUUGUUGGUGGGGUAAUGGCCUACCAAGGCGUCGACGGGUAGCCGGCCUGAGAGGGUGUACGGCCACAUUGGGACUGAGAUACGGCCCAGACUCCUACGGGAGGCAGCAGUGGGGAAUAUUGCACAAUGGGCGGAAGCCUGAUGCAGCGACGCCGCGUGGGGGAUGAAGGCCUUCGGGUUGUAAACUCCUUUCGACAGGGACGAAGCGUAAGUGACGGUACCUGUAUAAGAAGCACCGGCUAACUACGUGCCAGCAGCCGCGGUAAUACGUAGGGUGCGAGCGUUGUCCGGAAUUACUGGGCGUAAAGAGCUCGUAGGUGGUUUGUCGCGUCGUCUGUGAAAUUCCGGGGCUUAAC